rnacentral:rRNA from 1 species
ACCUACGGGGGGCAGCAGUGAGGAAUAUUGGUCAAUGGUCGGGAGACUGAACCAGCCAAGCCGCGUGAGGGAUGAAGGUACAGAGUAUCGUAAACCUCUUUUGUCAGGGAACAAAGGCGGAGACGUGUCCCCGGACGAGUGUACCUGAAGAAAAAGCAUCGGCUAACUCCGUGCCAGCAGCCGCGGUAAUACGGAGGAUGCGAGCGUUAUCCGGAUUUAUUGGGUUUAAAGGGUGCGCAGGCGAUCUGUUAAGUCAGCGGUCAAAGCACGGGGCUCAACCCCGGCCCGCCGUUGAAACUGGCAGU